AGAGGCAAUGAGAUUGUUGGUCA
rnacentral:siRNA from 1 species